GGAAAGAAAAAAAAAAACCCAGCAAGGAACCCAUAAUUGAUGCCCUAAAAGUAUCUUGUGUUAUAUUCUACGGGGCCAGCACCACUGACCAGCCUGACUGUCAACCCAUAGUAAAGGUAUACAUCUGGAACAACUGGAGUACCUCGUGGUGAGAGCUCUUAUACCUAGGAGGAGGGGCCAGGAGGGUGAAGUCAGGACAAGUGAAUGGAGCUGAGCGUUUACUGGCCAGAUGCCCUUCCUGACACCUACAUGGAGUUCACAGCAGAGGUUUUUUUGCGCCCUUAGAGAGAAACAUCUGCCACUACCUAGGACUAAACUCUCAACCUUCUGAGUGGGAGGUAGUGUCUUCACCUCUAGGCCACUGCACCACUUACUAUACUCUAUAUACUUAUACUUAUAUAUAUGAUAUAAGGCUCUAUACUUCCUUUAAAUUUUGCUCACUUGAGAAAAGUAAUAGAAUACUGGUUUUCAUCUACCAUAGGGGUACGACUGAUAGGGAAAAUACUUCUGCACGAACUAGAAUAGCAUUAUAUGAAAUGAGGGGAGACUCCAAUUUAAAUCUCAUGGCCCAUGAAGGCUUUAAGGAAGUCACCAUGUCUCAGAUCCACCCGAGUUAUCCCAUCUGUAGUAGGAACUAAUGGUACUGCUCUAGCCUAUAGAACUGCUGCAUUAGAAACAAUUGAGACCAUCAGUAAAAUGUUCAACUGUAGAGCAUCCACAAAAGGGCAUCAGAGCACUUCUUGGAAUUCUCCACAUCUGUCUGAAACUUCCAUCUAAAAUAAUAAAGAACGGGAAUUCUACUCCAGUCCAAUGGCUAAGUGGCUCCUGUGCUUUGUAGAGUUGGCUGAUAUUAGUAAUAUUGGUGGAGAAGAUUCUACCC